rfam:Candidatus Hamiltonella defensa 5AT (Acyrthosiphon pisum), complete genome.
CUCUAUGGUGGACUGGAUAGGGCAACCGUAAGGUUGGCUGGUUGGUUACUCCGGUAAGGCUAACCCUGUUCAGUUCAUCACCCAA